rnacentral:rRNA from 1 species
AUGAUAUUGAACCUCAUGCCCUAUCGAGCAUCUUAUCCCAUCUUAAAGUUGGUUUAUUCGGUAGCCGCAAAUGCUACUCAUUAUAGGGAUUUUGACAAAGCAAAUUUAAUUAUUACUAAAGCCGAAGUCAGUAGGAGUACUAUUAUGAAGAAAUUCAGACGUCGAGCUCGAGGACGUAGUUUCCCCAUAAAAAAGCAUGCGUCAUAUAAAAAUUGUACUAAAUAUAGUAAAGAUAUCUAA